GAUGAACGCUGGCGGCGUGCUUAACACAUGCAAGUCGAACGGGAUCCAAGGGGUGCUUGCACUUUUUGGUGAGAGUGGCGAACGGGUGAGUAACACGUGAGUAACCUGUCCUUUUCUUUGGGAUAAGCAUUCGAAAGGGUGUUUAAUACCUUAUGUUCUGUCUGCCUCGCAUGGGGUGGGUGGGAAAGGCUUUGGCCGGAUUUGGGUGGGCUCGCGGUCUAUCAGCUUGUUGGUGGGGUGAUGGCUUACCAAGGCUUUGACGGGUAGCCGGCCUGAGAGGGUGGUCGGUCACAUUGGGACUGAGAUACGGCCCAGACUCCUGCGGGAGGCAGCAGUGGGGGAUAGUGCACAAUGGGCGAAAGCCUGAUGCAGCGACGCCGCGUGGGGGAUGAAGGCCUGCGGGUUGUAAACUUCUUUUGCUCUGAACAAGGCAUGCCAGUGGGUGUGUUGAGUGUAGGGGUUGAUGAGCGCCGGCUAACUACGUG
rnacentral:rRNA from 1 species